GUGUGAAGUCUAGGUUAAACCAGU
rnacentral:piRNA from 1 species